rnacentral:rRNA from 1 species
AGUGAACGCUGGCGGUAGGCCUAACACAUGCAAGUCGAACGGCAGCACAGUAAGAGCUUGCUCUUACGGGUGGCGAGUGGCGGACGGGUGAGGAAUACAUCGGAAUCUACUUUUUCGUGGGGGAUAACGUAGGGAAACUUACGCUAAUACCGCAUACGACCUACGGGUGAAAGCAGGGGAUCUUCGGACCUUGCGCGAUUGAAUGAGCCGAUGUCGGAUUAGCUAGUUGGCGGGGUAAAGGCCCACCAAGGCGACGAUCCGUAGCUGGUCUGAGAGGAUGAUCAGCCACACUGGAACUGAGACACGGUCCAGAAUCCUACGGGAGGCAGCAGUGGGGAAUAUUGGAAAAUGGGCGCAAGCCUGAUCCAGCCAUACCGCGUGGGUGAAGAAGGCCUUCGGGUUGUAAAGCCCUUUUGUUGGGAAAGAAAAGCAGCAGGUUAAUACCCCGCUGUUCUGACGGUACCCAAAGAAUAAGCACCGGCUAACUUCGUG